GGCAAGCUCGCCACAGGGUUUGCAAGGCCUUCCUUCCUCGACCUGGGCCCUGGCUCCCCUCCCUGUCUCUUCUCCCAGAACUCCGCACCUUCCCACAGCUGAUCCGAGAAGGUGGUAGUUUCUUCUCACACCGGUGGGUGCGCCUGUUGCCUGCCCUUCCCCUUGACUGGAUGGUCCCUAGAAGCCUAGUUUAACCUUAGGUCACUACUUUUCCUUGAAGACUUCGCUGAGAGGCCGCCUCCUUUGGAGAGCAUUCCUGGGCCUUUUCAGACUCUGAAACAGUCCUCUGAGUCUCGCGACACGUGGUCAUGCCUGUGCUGCCACUGAAUGCGGUCCUCUAUUUGAGUCUGUAUCUGUCUCCCCAGAGGUCAAAUACUGUGUCCUGUGAGUCAUUUCGUCCCUAGGGGCCUAACAUGCUAUCUGAAACCUAGCUAACAUUCAGUGAAUAAUUUUCUCAUAAAUGAAGUAGAUUGGCAAAAAACUCCACUUUGAUGAAGAUCUAAAGAAAUAUUUUCAUCUUUUAUUUAUAAAUGUCUACAAGUCUCAGCCCUCCACAGCCUGCGUCUCCCUCAGGCCUCGGUCUCCCUCCAAGCAUUUUAUCGCACCAGACUACAGUUGUGGCCAAACCUAACAUUUAGAGAGAAAGAGACAAAUGUGAUCGAAGUUGGUUUUGAGUGAACAGCAUUAUUGUGGAAAAACCCAUGGAGUGUCCCCUACCAGCGGCCGCUCCUGCAGCUCUCGGGGGAGCACAGCCUGCUCCUCUGGCUUCGGACUCGGAUCUCCUGUCCCUGGUGAUGAAGCUUUAAGGACUCUUCUCAGAAGCAUUCUUAUUUAUUUCACAGAUAUUGCAUUAUCCCGAACUGUCUAUUCGGCGCAUUUAAGCGGGGAGAAGAAAGAAUCUAGAUUUCCCCAAAACAGCAGUCAGACUAUCUUCCGAGCAGAGCGGCGAACAGUCUGAAGUUCUAAUGAGAGCCCUCCGGGAUGUCCUAGAAGAGCAGCAUGGUAUGGGGAUGUGGCCCUGGGGGCUCUGUGUUCCCUCCCCACAUGAUGCAGAUUGGAGCCACUAAGCCUGACUGUGUCAAGAGCAAUGUCCUGAAUGUCACAGCUCUGGGGUA
rnacentral:lncRNA from 1 species